rnacentral:lncRNA from 1 species
UUUAUGCUAAUGACGAGGAUGCGGGUGACCGCCCGAGCUCUCCCGAGCGCCAGAGGCCUUGCUUGCGCUUGGUCUUGCUCGCCCGCACCCCUCCAGGAGUCGGCUGCUUGCCCAGAAGUCUCUAUAGAGGAACUGUCGCCGUCAGUCUCUGGGCCUAGAGGGGUGCGAGGAGAAGUGGUCCCUGGCUGCGGUCCGUGUGGCCAACGCCGUGCGUUUGUCUUCAUUCUGCCCACCCCACCCCGUUCGGUUUCUGCCUUCCAGUUCCUUUUUGAUUGCUCUCGGUCUCUGGAGGUCUCACUCCUUGUCUCAUUUUACGAUUAUCUGCUCUCUUUCUAGUAAACCAAGAUAUGUUGAGCACUUCUGCCUUCCCGACGGUUCGCUAACCUUGCCCCGCUGGGCAGCGGCAGGAUGAAGAGGAAGCCUGAAGCCAGCACCCGACAGCUCCAAGAGCUGAAUGAGGGCUGUGCUCUGGGGCCUGGGAGAAGGCGAGCCCACUUCUGACCGGGAAUCGGGAGAGAGUACCUGAAAGCCGAGCCCUUUGGGCUGAGCUCUAAAGAAUGGACAGAACCCCAACCCGGAUGCGAUCGGGAAAUGAAGUAGGCAGAAGUGUUAAGAUAAACGGGGAAAGCCAAUGCAGGGUGACUGGAAUACAAGGACCUUGUUUGGAGUUUGGGGGAGAAUGCUGGGAGGGAUUUUGAGAGGGCCAGGUGAGAGACCUUAAUACCAAGUCAAAUAAGUUAAUGUGACUCCGGAGGCUUUCUUCCUAUUUCUCUAAGAGAAACAAUAAAGCUAGUGGUUAAAUACAUCCAUGGACUCCGGAAUUACAUCGCCCUAGUUCAAGGUUUACAGUCCACCACUAUUACCUGUGUGAUGU